rnacentral:rRNA from 1 species
GAAAUCUAUUUAGGUAGAGCGUCAGACGAAUACCUUCGGGGGUAGAGCACUGAAUGGGCUAGGGGGCCUUACCGGCUUACCAAACCUAAUCAAACUCCGAAUACCGAAGAGUACUAUCUGGCAGACAGACUACGGGUGCUAAGGUCCGUGGUCGAGAGGGAAACAGCCCAGACCGCCAGUUAAGGUCCCAAAGUUGUGGCUAAGUGGGAAAGGAUGUAGGACGGCCAAGACAACCAGGACGUUGGCUUAGAAGCAGCCAUCGUUUAAAGAAAGCGUAACAGCUCAC